UCCGUAGGUGAACCUGCGGAAGGAUCAUUAGUGAAUCUAGGACGUCCAACUUAACUUGGAGUCCGAACUCUCACUUUCUAACCCUGUGCAUCUGUUAAUUGGACUAGUAGCUCUUCGGAGUGAACCGCCAUUCACUUAUAAACACAAAGUCUAUGAAUGUAUACAAAUUUAUAACAAAACAAAACUUUCAACAACGGAUCUCUUGGCUCUCGCAUCGAUGAAGAACGCAGCGAAAUGCGAUACGUAAUGUGAAUUGCAGAAUUCAGUGAAUCAUCGAAUCUUUGAACGCACCUUGCGCUCCUUGGUAUUCCGAGGAGCAUGCCUGUUUGAGUGUCAUGAAAUCUUCAACCCACCUCUUUCUUAGUGAAUCUGGUGGUGCUUGGUUUCUGAGCGCUGCUCUGCUUCGGCUUAGCUCGUUCGUAAUGCAUUAGCAUCCGCAACCGAACUUCGGAUUGACUUGGCGUAAUAGACUAUUCGCUGAGGAUUCUAGUUUACUAGAGCCGAGUUGGGUUAAAGGAAGCUCCUAAUCCUAAAGUCUAUUUUUUGAUUAGAUCUCAAAUCAGGUAGGACUACCCGCUGAACUUAAGCAUAUCAAUAAGCGGAGGAAAAG
rnacentral:rRNA from 1 species